AUUACCGCGGCUGCUGGCACGGAGUUAGCCGAUCCUUAUUCUCAGGGUACAUACAAAACAGGACACGUCCUGCACCUUAUUCCCCUGCAAAAGAAGUUUACGAACCAUAGAUCCUUCUUCCUUCACGCGACUUGGCUGGUUCAGGCUCCCGCCCAUUGACCAAUAUUCCUCACUGCUGCCUAAUCGUCGACCUGCAGGCAUGCAAGCUGGCG
rnacentral:rRNA from 1 species